UACGGGGGGGGCAAGCGUUGUUCGGAAUUACUGGGCGUAAAGGGCUCGUAGGCGGCCAACCAAGUCAUACGUGAAAUCCCUCGGCUUAACCGGGGAACUGCGUCUGAUACUGGAUGGCUUGAGUUUGGGAGAGGGAUGCGGAAUUCCAGGUGUAGCGGUGAAAUGCGUAGAUAUCUGGAGGAACACCGGUGGCGAAGGCGGCAUCCUGGACCAACACUGACGCUGAAUGAGCGAAAGCCAGGGGAGCAAACGGG
rnacentral:rRNA from 1 species